UACUUCACACUCAACAGGAUCAUCUUUAUAGUUAGUCUCUGCUCUUAGUUUUCCAAACUAGGCAUCUUCACAAAUGUAGAUGAUGAGACGAAUCCUCCCCCAUGAGCAGGAAGUUUCCAUUCACGGUUAGGGAUCUCAUUCGUUUAUUCGUUUGGGUACGCCGUUUUGGGUUGAAGACUGCCUCCGGCCCCCCUUUCGCUGGCCUAUGGGUGGGCGAUAGCGUGG
rnacentral:snoRNA from 1 species